rnacentral:rRNA from 1 species
UUGAAUGCUGGCGGCAGGCCUAACACAUGCAAGUCGAGCGGAUGACGGGAGCUUGCUCCUUGAUUCAGCGGCGGACGGGUGAGUAAUGCCUAGGAAUCUGCCUGGUAGUGGGGGACAACGUUUCGAAAGGAACGCUAAUACCGCAUACGUCCUACGGGAGAAAGCAGGGGACCUUCGGGCCUUGCGCUAUCAGAUGAGCCUAGGUCGGAUUAGCUAGUUGGUGGGGUAAUGGCUCACCAAGGCGACGAUCCGUAACUGGUCUGAGAGGAUGAUCAGUCACACUGGAACUGAGACAUGGUCCAGACUCCUACGGGAGGCAGCAGUGGGGAAUAUUGGACAAUGGGCGAAAGCCUGAUCCAGCCAUGCCGCGUGUGUGAAGAAGGUCUUCGGGUUGUAAAGCACUUUCAGCGAGGAGGAAGGGGUGAGUGUUAAUAGUACUCGUCUUUGACGUUACUCGCAGAAGAAGCACCGGCUAACUCUGUGCCAGCCGCCGCGGUAAAAC